GUGAAUUAAGCGGUCUGUGUUGAGCGACAUGAAUUCCUUUACCGCGUGGUGUUCCAAAGGUGAUUCUCACCCGGUGUUGCCUGUGCUGUGGCUCUCCUCUAUGCCCAAGAAACAGGUCUGCAUCCAGGCUUGGUGGGAAUUUCCACUACAGAAAGAGAAUCAAAUACCCCAGCCACUAUGCCAUGAAAUGCAACCUCUGGCUUCACAACCUCUGUGAGUUGCUGAAUUCUUCCUUCCAAGUUGCUCGCCAACUACCAGACUCUCUGCGCAAGAUCAGCCAUCGCCAUUGUUCUCGUCUCUGAAAAUUGUUCUGUCAAUGAAAUGAUCUACCAUGAAGGAAAUCUGUGGAAACACAGUCUGUGACGAGAGCCCAUGAAUAAUUUCCACGUGCUCCUGCCAGUCUUUUAAGCUGCGCGUCCUUGAGUCACAGAGACAUGGCUGGGCAGCUGAAAGUGUCACCGAGUAUUCCGUGGACACCACAGUUCACUCAAGUGUUAACUGCUCACAAGGAUACACAGCCAGCCUCCCCCAAACAUGAGGCGAUCCAACUGUGUUCUUCCCAUGAGAAGCCAAAGGCAUCUCUCCCCAAGCACAAAGUAGUAAAGAGCCCUGGAUGCCUGGUUCCUAUUCCUGGGAGCGUAUGCAAUUACUCUGUCACCCUGGUGGCCAACACUAACUGUCCUAUCAGCAUGACUCCUGAUUAUCAGCUCCCCAUCUGCAUGAAAGUAAAAGCCAGCUCAUCCUAUUCACCGGCUCCGAAUCCUCCACUGGCUUCCCCUUUCACUAGAAUAAAACCCUAAAUCUUUACAAUGACCUGACAACAUAAUUCUCCCCCGUUCCCUCCGCCGAAACUGCUGUUAUUUUGCCGGCUUUGUGCAUUACUCAUCCUCUCUAGACCAGUUUGCUAGGGCUGCCGUAACAAAAUACUCCAGAAUGGGUGACGGAAACAACAGAAACUUAUUUUCCCACAGUCAUGGACGCUCACAGUGUCACCGGAUUUAGUUUCUUCCGAAAUGUCUCUCCUUAGCUUGAACAUGGCCAUCUUUUCACUGUGUCCUCACAUGGUCUUUCCUCUGGUGUCUCUCUGUGUCCAAAUAUCCUCUUUUAAUAAGGACACCAGUCAGACAGGAUUAGGGCUCACGCCUUCAUUUUAAUGUAGUCAUCUCUUUAAAAGGAUCUAUCUUCAAACACAGGGGUUAAGACUCCAGCACAUGAAAUCAGAGGGGACAGGAUUCAGCCCAUGGCACCCUUGAUCAUUCUGCUGCAGCCAACCUGACUUUCCGCAAGUCAUUCAAACAUACCCUUGCCUUUACGCCAUCUAUUCCUUACCUCUCACACACUGCAAAUCCAAUAAAGUCUGCCCCGCUCUUUAAGGAUGCGCCUGC
ensembl:lncRNA